GACGAACGCUGGCGGCGUGCCUAAUACAUGCAAGUUGAACGCUGAAGCGAGGAGCUUGUUCUUAUUGGAUGAGUAGCGAACGGGUGAGUAACGCGUAGGUCAUCUGCCUUGUAGCGGGGGAUAACUAUUGGAAACGAUAUCUAAUACCGCAUAAAAACGUUAGACACAAGUUUUUUGUUUGAAAGAGGCAAUUGCAUCACUAAAAGAUGGACCUGCGUUGUAUUAGCUAGUUGGUGAGGUAAAGGCUCACCAAGGCGAUGAUACAUAGCCGACCUGAGAGGGUGAUCGGCCACACUGGGACUGAGACACGGCCCAGACUCCUACGGGAGGCAGCAGUAGGGAAUCUUCGGCAAUGGGCGAAAGUCUGACCGAGCAACGCCGCGUGAGUGAAGAAGGUUUUCGGAUCGUAAAACUCUGUUGUUAGACAAGAACGGUGGUGAGAGUGGAAAGCUCACACAGUGACGGUAACUACCCAGAAAGGGACGGCUAACUACGUG
rnacentral:rRNA from 1 species